ACGGGUGAGUAACGCGUGGGUAAUCUACCCUCAAGUCUGGAAUAACGUCUCGAAAGAGGCACUAAUACGGGAUAAGACCACGGGAACUUCGGUUUUUGAGGUAAAGGUCCUUCACGGGAUCGCUUGGGGAUGAGCCUGCGUGACAUUAGAUUGAUGGUGGGGUAAAGGCCUACCAUAUUGUCUACGAUGUCUAGCUGGUCUGAGAGGAUGAUCAGCCACACUGGGACUGGAACACGGCCCAG
rnacentral:rRNA from 1 species